UGCAAGUCGAGCGGACAGAAGGGAGCUUGCUCCCGGAUGUUAGCGGCGGACGGGUGAGUAACACGUGGGUAACCUGCCUGUAAGACUGGGAUAACUCCGGGAAACCGGAGCUAAUACCGGAUAGUUCCUUGAACCGCAUGGUUCAAGGAUGAAAGACGGUUUCGGCUGUCACUUACAGAUGGACCCGCGGCGCAUUAGCUAGUUGGUGGGGUAAUGGCUCACCAAGGCGACGAUGCGUAGCCGACCUGAGAGGGUGAUCGGCCACACUGGGACUGAGACACGGCCCAGACUCCUACGGGAGGCAGCAGUAGGGAAUCUUCCGCAAUGGACGAAAGUCUGACGGAGCAACGCCGCGUGAGUGAUGAAGGUUUUCGGAUCGUAAAGCUCUGUUGUUAGGGAAGAACAAGUGCGAGAGUAACUGCUCGCACCUUGACGGUACCUAACCAGAAAGCCACGGCUAACUACGUGCCAGCAGCCGCGGUAAUACGUAGGUGGCAAGCGUUGUCCGGAAUUAUUGGGCGUAAAGGGCUCGCAGGCGGUUUCUUAAGUCUGAUGUGAAAGCCCCCGGCUCAACCGGGGAGGGUCAUUGGAAACUGGGAAACUUGAGUGCAGAAGAGGAGAGUGGAAUUCCACGUGUAGCGGUGAAAUGCGUAGAGAUGUGGAGGAACACCAGUGGC
rnacentral:rRNA from 1 species